rnacentral:rRNA from 1 species
GGAAUCUUGCGCAAUGGGCGAAAGCCUGACGCAGCAACGCCGCGUGCGGGAAGAAGGCUUUCGGGCUGUAAACCGCUUUCAGCAGGAACGAAAAUGACGGUACCUGCAGAAGAAGGAGCGGUCAACUAUGUGCCAGCAGCCGCGGUGAUACAUAGGCUUCAAGCGUUGUCCGGAUUUAUUGGGCGUAAAGAGUUCGUAGGCGGUCGAGUAAGUCGGGUGUGAAAAUUCUGGGCUCAACCCAGAAACGCCACCCGAUACUGCUUAACUUGAGUUCGAUAGGGGAGUGGGGAAUUCCUAGUGUAGCGGUGAAAUGCGCAGAUACUAGGAGGAACACCGGUGGCGAAGGCGCCACUCUGGAUCGAUACUGACGCUGAGGAACGAAAGCAUGGGUAGCAAACAGGAUUAGAUACCCUGGUAGUCCAUGCCGUAAACGGUGGGCACUAGGUGUGGGAUUCUAUUAACGAAUUCCGCGCCGUCGCUAACGCAUUAAGUGCCCCGCCUGGGGAGUACGGUCGCAAGACUAAAACUCAAAGGAAUUGACGG